UUUCCCAAUGCGGCCCAGGGCCUGAGGGAGAAAUGUAGGGUCACAGGAAGUCUUGGCAGGGGAGGUCACAACACGGGCAAGGGGACUCACAGGGGCCAUGUCAUCUGUCCACUCGCCAUGCCCAGCCUGCAGUUGCUUCACAGUGUCCAGGUCAUCGAUGACGCGAACCACAUCGCCCACCCAGAAGGAGUUGUGCUGGGUGACAGAGAAGCAGGCAACCACAGGCCCAGCAGGAGGCUAUACCAGCAGGGGGCCUGUGACAGAGAACCUGGCCCAGCACAGAGAAGACUUGGAGCAGGAAAAGACCCAAGUACUGGGAGUUGAUGUUGUGGUCAUUCUGCAGCCAAGCAGCUUGCUGGCCUCUGUGAACCCAGCUUCCCAGCCUGAGCCUGCCUGCCCAGGCCAGCUGCCAUGUCUGCCUGCCAGCUAUCGCCCCACUGGCCACUUGUCGCUGGGCCUUUUACAAGACAUAGGGGGGGUGCCCCAAGCAUGAAUGCAAACAAGGCCUGUGCCCAACCUCUCCCUCAGGAGAAUGGACAGAGGCAGGGAGAUCAAAGUGGAGGGUGUCUGGCAAUGUCUGGAGAAACUUGGGACCACACCUCAGCUGACAACUGCCUAGCAGGAAGGCCACCAGGUAGUUGAGCCUGUGACAGCAUCUGCCUGCCACCACACCUGGUAGUUUUAGAACAGCCAAACAACUCCCCUCAUCCCUAGCCCGCAAACCGCCACAUUCUGGAAGACUAUCACUCAGAUGAGCCCACCAGAGACGGACCGCAGCCGGGCAGGACGUGGGACGGACUUAGUUAAAUAACCAGCACCCACUGACACCCAGGACUGCCUGGACAAGAAGGGAGGACCUGGAGGAGCGCACACAGGGCUUGGUACGCUUGCUUGCCCCCUGGGUGCCAAGGGGUGAGAACAGAGAAGCACCAGUCAUGGUGGCCCCCAGGGCUCCUUCCCUGAAGCAGCCCAUGCCAGAGGUCUUCAGAGGCAGCACCCUCCGUGCUACAUGGCAUCACAGCCCUGGUUAGGGCCCCUGCCUGAGCUGGUCUUCUGAUAAAGCCCCCUUGCCACCCUCUCAUAGUUACCACAGGGACAGACAAGGGACAGGGCUUCUGGGACUCAGAAACACAGGGAUUUGGCACCCUAGGACCCUCUCAGGGAGACCUGACAACUUUCCGUCACCCCUGCCUGGCCUCUGUCACUUUUGUUCCUGGGCCCAGCAUGUCAUUGCUGGUCAUGUCCCCCUGCCUUUGAGCUCCUGUGCCUUGUCUCAGGGCUCACUACUUAUUAUGGUUUUGAUAUAAAGUGUCCCCCCAAAACUCCUGUUAAUGUGGAACCACAGUGGUGCCUCUUCCUCCCUGUCACCCGGGCCUGUCCCCAUGAUGUGCUCUCACCUCAAGCCCAGAGCAAUGGAGUGGGCCAUCUACAGACAGAACCUCUGAAACCAUGAGCCCCAAAUAAACUUUUCCUCCUCUAA